rnacentral:rRNA from 1 species
CCUACGGGAGGCAGCAGUGAGGAAUAUUGGUCAAUGGCCGGAAGGCUGAACCAGCCAAGCCGCGUGAGGGAGGAAGGCGCAGAGCGUCGCAGACCUCUUUUGCCGGGGGACAAAAGGCCGGACUCGUCCGGUCCUGAGGGUACCCGGAGAAAAAGCAUCGGCUAACUCCGUGCCAGCAGCCGCGGUAAUACGGAGGAUGCGAGCGUUAUCCGGAUUCAUUGGGUUUAAAGGGUGCGCAGGCGGGCCUUUAAGCCGGCGGUGAAAUCCCCGCGCUCAACGUGGGAACUGACUUUGAAACUGGCAAACUGGAGUGUGUGAGAGGAUAGUGGAAUUCCAGGUGUAGGAGUGAAAUCCGUAGAUAUCUGGAGGAACAUCAGUGGCGAAGGCGACUAUCUGGCACAUAACUGACGCUGAGGAGCGAAAGCGUGGGUAGCAAACAGGAUUAGAUACCCCAGUAGUC